rnacentral:rRNA from 1 species
AACGUAGGUGGCGAGCGUUAUCCGGAUUUACUGGGCGUAAAGCGCAUUCAGGCGGCUUAGCAAGUCGGGCAUGAAAUCUCUCGGCUCAACCGGGAGAGGCUGUCCGAUACUGCUGGGCUUGAGGGCAGUAGAGGAAGGUGGAAUUCCGCGUGUAGUGGUGAAAUGCGUAGAUAUGCGGAGGAACACCAGUGGCGAAAGCGGCCUUCUGGGCUGCUCCUGACGCUCAAAUGCGAAAGCUAGGGUAGCGAACGGG